AUUGAACGCUGACGGCAGGCCUAACACAUGCAAGUCGAACGAGUGGCGGACGGGUGAGUAAUGUCUGGGAAACUGCCCGAUGGAGGGAGAUAACUACUGGAAACGGUAGCUAAUACCGCAUCACAUCGGAUGUGCCCAGAUGGUAUUAGCUAGGAGGUGGGGUAACGGCUCACCUGGGCGACGAUCCCUAGCUGGUCUGAGAGGAUGAUCAGCCACACUGUAACUGAGACACGGUCCAGAAUCCUACGGGAGGCAGCAGUGGGGAAUAUGGCACAAUGGGCGCAAGCCUGAUGCAGCCAUGCAGCGUGUAUGAAGAAGGCCUUCGGGUUGUAAAGUACUUUCAGCGAGGAGGCGUUACGCUCAGAAGAAGCACCGGCUAACUCCGUGCCAGCAGCCGCGGUAAUUC
rnacentral:rRNA from 1 species